rnacentral:rRNA from 1 species
GUCCAGACUCCUACGGGAGGCAGCAGUGGGGAAUAUUGCACAAUGGGGGAAACCCUGAUGCAGCAACGCCGCGUGAGUGAAGAAGUAUUUCGGUAUGUAAAGCUCUAUCAGCAGGGAAGAAGAUGACGGUACCUGAGUAAGAAGCCCCGGCUAACUACGUGCCAGCAGCCGCGGUAAUACGUAGGGGGCAAGCGUUAUCCGGAUUUACUGGGUGUAAAGGGAGCGUAGACGGUGAGACAAGUCUGAAGUGAAAGCCCGGGGCUCAACCCCGGGACUGCUUUGGAAACUGCCUGACUGGAGUGCUGGAGAGGCAAGCGGAAUUCCUAGUGUAGCGGUGAAAUGCGUAGAUAUUAGGAGGAACACCAGUGGCGAAGGCGGCUUACUGGACUGUAACUGACGUUGAGGCUCGAAAGCGUGGGGAGCAAACAGGAUUAGAUACCCCCGUA